AUUGAACGCUGGCGGCAUGCUUUACACAUGCAAGUCGAACGGCAGCACGGACUUCGGUCUGGUGGCGAGUGGCGAACGGGUGAGUAAUACAUCGGAACGUACCCAGUAAUGGGGGAUAACUAUCCGAAAGGAUAGCUAAUACCGCAUACGCCCUACGGGGGAAAGAGGGGGAUCGCAAGACCUCUUGUUAUUGGAGCGGCCGAUGGCUGAUUAGCUAGUUGGUAGGGUAAAGGCCUACCAAGGCAACGAUCAGUAGCGGGUCUUAGAGGACGAUCCGCCACACUGGAACUGCGACACGGUCCAGACUCGUACGGGAGGCAGCAGUGGGGAAUCUGGGACAAUGGGCGCAAGCCUGAUCCAGCAAUGCUGCGUGCGUGAAGAAGGCCUUCGGGUUGUAAAGCGCUUUUGUCAGGGAGCAAAUCCUUGUGGCUAAUACCCACCGGGGAUGAGAGUACCUGAAGAAUAAGGACCGGCUAACUACGUGCCAGCCGCCGCGGUAAAAC
rnacentral:rRNA from 1 species